rnacentral:rRNA from 1 species
UACAGAGGUCUCAAGCGUUGUUCGGAUUCAUUGGGCGUAAAGGGUGCGUAGGCGGCGUGUCGCGUCGGGAGUGAAAGCCCGUUGCUUAACGGCGGGUUGGCUUUCGGUACGGGCAUGCUGGAGUGCGGCAGGGGAGACUGGAAUUCCUGGUGUAGCGGUGGAAUGCGCAGAUAUCAGGAGGAACACCGGUGGCGAAGGCGGGUCUCUGGGCCGUUACUGACGCUGAGGAGCGAAAGCGUGGGGAGCGAACAGG